rnacentral:rRNA from 1 species
AGCGAACGCUGGCGGCGUGCUUAACACAUGCAAGUCGAACGUGAAAGGGAGCAAUCCCAAGUAAAGUGGCGUACGGGUGAAUAACGCGUAGGUAAUCUACCCCAAAAUCUGAAUAACUUGCCGAAAGGCGGGCUAAUACUGGAUAGAGCGAUGGAAUCCGUAAUUGGGUUUUUCGGGAAAGGGAGGUAGCAAUGCCCCUCGUUUUGGGAUGAGCCUGCGUCUCAUUAGCUAGUUGGCGAGGUAAUAGCUCACCAAGGCUUUGAUGGGUAGGUGGUCUGAGAGGAUGAUCAGCCACACUGGAACUGAAACACGGUCCAGACUCCUACGGGAGGCAGCAGUGGGGAAUCUUCCGCAAUGGACGAAAGUCUGACGGAGCAAUGCCGCGUGAGUGAGGAAGGCCUUCGGGUCGUAAAGCUCUGUUGUGAGGGAAGAACAAGUACCGGCGUAACUACCGGUACCGUGACGGUACCUCACCAGAAAGCCACGGCUAACUACGUGCCAGCCGCCGCCGUAA